rnacentral:lncRNA from 1 species
GCCCCUCUGCUCAGCAACCCAUGUGAGUGUUUCCUCCCUCCCCUGUCUGGGGUAAGGUGCAGGGCUCACAUGUAGUAUGAAGGUUGCAUUUUGGGCAUUUGGUCUCUAAAAUAUUCACCAUUAUUCUCUUCACCCUAACUGCUCUUCUGUUUUGGAAUACAUACUUAGUAUCAAAUCUAAAACAGAAGGUAAGGAUUUUUAAAAUAAAUUAAUGAUUGUUGACUGAUACAUUGUUAUCAAAGUAUCUAGACAAAGUAAGUAUAUUGGGCCUAUUUAUCUUAGUACUCUGAGUUUUUAGUAUAUUCAAUAAUUUGAACUGAAUUAAUUAGAAUCACAAGAGACAAUACUGUGGAAGGGAAAUAAUAUUGGACUAAUAAUGCUAAUGGAUAGUGAUAUCUGAAGAAAUAGUCUUUGUGUUUCAGUCAUUUUAGAAGUAGCCACAAAGUUAGAAAAUAGAGUUAAGGCAUGCUAUUUAUUGACCUUAGUUAAAAUUUCCAUUUACCAACAAAGUGUGAAGAUCUAUUCCCAAUAAUCCUCAAUUAACUUCUGUCACACAUGAGAAAGUUUUUACUGCAAAUUUCUCUGAUAAAGGACUCAUUUUCUACUGGUGAAAAUUUAUAAGAAUAAGAAUCACUUUCUCAAUUGAUAUGUGGCCAAAGGAUAUGAAUAAGCAUUUCUCAAAGGAAGACAUUCAAGCAGCAUAGGAAAAAAUGCUCCAAAUCACUAAUGCAGAAAUGUAAAUUAAAGCAACUUUGAGGCCCCAUCUCCUACCCAUCAGAUUUGCAUAGAAAAGGGAAAAUGACAAAUGCUGGGGGAGGGAGGGGAAGGGAGAAGGAAAUAGGCACAGUAAUGCACUAAUUGUAGAGUUGAGAAUUAGUCUGGCCAAUCUGGAAAAUAAUUGUGUUCUGCUCCCAAAGUCACUAACUAUGUACACCUUUUGUCCCAGUCAUAGUUUCCUAGGUCUAUAUGCCAAAAAAAAAAAAAAAAAAAAAAAAAGUUGUGGUGUUUAGAUUUGGGAAAUAGGAGUCCCUUUUUAUGUAUAUAUAUAUAUAUAAACCUAGCAGAAUGAUUUAGUAAGCAUUUAACUCCCUUCUCCCUCAGCCAAAAAAAAAAUUCUUAUAUUGUGAAACUUUUGAUGCAUCUGUGCUAUUAUUAAUCGGGGGCAGUGGGGCAUUCCUUCCAGUGGUUUUGAUUAUAACCUUCCCAUGCUUUCUCAUCCUGUGUGUUUCUUGCCCAUGUAUUUAUUUCUACAUUUCCUCUGUAGAACAUCUGGCCAAGACCUUUCUCUAGAUUUU